CCUUCUUGCUGCAGGAGAAGCAAAGCUGCUGAGGGGAAAAAAUCAGCUGCCGAGAAAUGCUAAUGGAAGGGAUUAGUGGACUUUAAGUUUACUUUGAAACACUUACUGGUGAUGUCUACAUUGCAAUGAAUAGAAUAUUGUGCAGUGUGAAGGAGAUGAACAUCAAAUGCCUGCUCAGCCAUGAAACUCCCUGGGUAGUAUUUGGAAAGGUAUUAUCCACCUCACCUACUUCAUAGAUGGUGCACAGGGCAGGUCAUCCCACCCUUGCUACAUGACAGAGAAUAAAUCUCACACUCCCAUUUCAGAUAUGCUAUGUAGAACACAGAACCUGAAAUGCUUAACUCCCACUCCCCCCCAAAAAAGAUAAAUGAACCAAUAAGAGCUCAGUCGGAGAACAUGAUUGGCCAAUGAGGAACAGCUGGGAGGGAACAUGGGGAACGACUUGGGAUCAUGACAUUAGCCAUAGCUGCCUGAUGCCAGUCUCCAUGGGAAGGCAAGGACCCUUCAGAUUGGUCUAGAUUUGGGGUGUUACUGCCUCAACACCUAUACCGUAACAAUUAACAUUAAGAAUUAUGUAUACAAAGUAUAUGCAUGAUGUGAAAAGAACAGCAUCUUGACAAUUAAAGAAAUCAGGGGAACAGUGAAGGAUGCCAUGAAGGAAGCGCAUAUUUUGGCCCAACUUAAAGUAGGAGGAGGAGAAGAGGGUGGGAGAAAGAAAAACAGGCCCUUCUCAGCAGUGAAGCAGAGAGAAGUAUUAUCACAUUGUCAAAGAAUCUUUUGAUCUUGGAAGGAUGCAGUCUCCAGAACGUAACCAUAUUUGACUGAAC